rnacentral:lncRNA from 1 species
AUCAACUCAAAAUUUACCUAUAUAAGCCAAGAUCUUUCACAAAUUUGGGUAAAGAAGAAAAUUUAUAGAGAGAAAUUAAUAGAGAAUUUAUCGUGGAUUUGCAAGGUGAGUUCUGUAGAGAAAUUAGCUAUAAAUCUACAAUGAACUCUAGAGAAAAAUCUCUUCUCCUCUCCUUUGUUUUCAAUUUUCUUGUAUUAUGUUUCAUAUAUUUGUUAAGUAAAAUGAGUAUUUUAGUCGAUAUCAGAGAUUCAUGUUCUAAGCUAAGGUAAAUAGUGAAACUCAAAAAUUUAAAUUGUAAAAUAAUUAAUCUCUCAAGUAAGUUUUAAGUUUAUUGUUUUGAAUUAUAUGUUUAUUAGUUAUAUUUUCUAACAGUUAUUUUUAUUCCAUGUUAAUCUAUAAGCCUAGAUCCCAUUUAGAUUUAUAUGAGUAUUUAGACAUAAUUCAGUACACUAAUACGACAGUGAUAUCACUCUAAUAUAGUUAUGACACAUUAUAUAUUUAAUCCUCAUAAUUAUUUGCACAGUGAUUAGUUAAGAACUAAGUCACAUAAUAUUUAAACUAGUAAAAGGAAAUGCAAGAUUUUUAAAAUUCCAUAUAGUUCGACCCUAGACUCACUAAUUUAUAUUAUAACUAAACAUUCUUAUACUUGAGAAUAGUCCUUUGAGUCAUGUCAGUGAUCAUGGAAAAGAACAUGAAAAUGCUAAGUUUGUGAAUUUUGUAAUAAUCAUGAGUUAGCCUUCACAGCCACUACCACUACACUCUUACCACCAUAUCAACCUGAUCCAACCAUCACCACCCCAAACUCGGCCACUAGCCACCGGCCACACAAAACCCAAGAGUUGAGCCUUAUUUACAGUUUUACCAUUGUGUGAAAACUUGACAAUAAAUGGUAAACUACCAUCGUUACCCUACUAUUUACCAUGUGCUAGACUUAUUUGCAUACACUUGUCCCAAGAAAUUUAUUGAUUAGUUAGACAUUGUAGCCUUCAUGGCAUGAUCUCUGUCUUUCAUAAUUAAUAUUGGAUCGAAGGGUUAGCGAUUCUUCUAAAGACUUCUGAGUCUCUAAAAUCCAAAUCUCACGUCCAUUUUUUUUCCAAUUUAAGCAUCAAGAAUUUAGGGAUUUACUACGAAAACAUAAAAACCACACUUGAAGACAAAUAAAAAUUGACAAUUCAUAAAAUCGGUUAAGUAUUUGUAAAUAUGAUGAAAAUUUAGUGUUAUCAACACUGUAAGUGAAAAAUGACAAAUUUAACUAUGCCCACUUUCUAGCGUUAAUCAAGUAACACCUGCACCAGAGAGCUAAAGAUAUUUAUAGUUUUUUUUAUUGUUUGUAGAUAAAAUGUCAAGGAUCAUCUUAUCUCCUUAUGUUAGAAGAUAUCCCCAGUUUUGAUGGUAAUCAUAAUAGUACUUUUUACUAGAUUUGCAUGAUGGAAGAUUUUCUUCAAACUAUAUCUUCAAAUAUCAUUGUCUCUCAUAUAUCAUUUAAGUUUAUGGGUGAUGCUUUAGAUUUGUGUGAGCAACUUCAAGAAUCAAGGAUUCAACUAGGGCAAGAUGAAAUUCAAGAAUGGUUUGGUACGAGGUAAUUGGUGAAAGAUCAUUUUGUUCGCUGUGAUGAUGAUGAACAAUCUCUUUUUACACUAAUAACAAUAGAAGAUGAUGAUCAUAAUGAGAUUAUUGUUUUGCGUGAGCUUUUUAGAGAAGAGCUAGGUACAAUCUAUUCUUGAUUUGCACUUUUAGCCUAACAAUAUCAUCGAGUUUGUGCAUAAAAUCAAGUUAAAGAGAGCCGAGCAAUGAUUGAUAUGAUUAUAACUAUCCAUGUUGAAGACAACAAGGUUAUUCUUAAAGAAGAUUUGGCUGCAAAGAUAAAGUUAAUUGGUCAGAACAUUGAGUGAGGUUUGACAAAAGCCUUCAGAGGUUUGGAAGUAAUUCGUUCGUACAAGAAUUUACCUUUUCACAAAGUGACUAGCAAGAUUAAGAUGAAGAUGAAGCAUGGAGGA